rnacentral:rRNA from 1 species
GGGGAAUAUUGGACAAUGGGCGAAAGCCUGAUCCAGCCAUGCCGCGUGUGUGAAGAAGGUCUUCGGAUUGUAAAGCACUUUAAGUUGCGAGGAAGGGCAGUUACCUAAUACGUGAUUGUCUUGACGUUACCGACAGAAUAAGCACCGGCUAACUCUGUGCCAGCAGCCGCGGUAAUACAGAGGGUGCAAGCGUUAAUCGGAAUUACUGGGCGUAAAGCGCGCGUAGGUGGUUAGUUAAGUUGGAUGUGAAAUCCCCGGGCUCAACCUGGGAACUGCAUUCAAACCGGAUUGACUGGGGUAGGGUGGAGGUUGGUGAAAUUUCUUGUGUAGCGGUGAAUGGGUAAGUAAUAGGAAGGAACACAGGGGACGAGGCGACCCACCGGGACUGAUACGACAACGAGGUUGGAAAGCGGUGGGAGCAUACA